CAGCACAGGGAACCUGCCAGUUCAGGGAGGCCCACCUUUCUAGAAGGUUAACAGGAACUUCCAGCCUCCAGCCUACUUAGUGACCAGCUGCUGGAGGACAGUGAGUGGCCCCUGCUGUCCGCAUCUCCACAGGGGUCACCAAGCGCACUCACAGGGUCCCCCUCCACCUGGAGCAGAGAAUUCGGAGGAGCCCGUCUUGCUGUCUUUUCUGAUGUUGUUAAACUAUGCUUGGGCCUGUCCUUUGCUGAAAGGAGCUUUCUACACAGCUGGACUUCUGAGGUGGGACCUGCCACGUGCUAACUCUGGCACUCGGAGCGGUCUCUGCCACUGGCAAUGUCCUGUCCUGAACAUUUCCAGUGUGGCCUCUCUCCUGAAAGGCCUGUGUGCGACUUCUUUGUGAAGCCGGAAGAAAGUUCUGGGACUUCCCCUUCUCCUUUGGUGCAAAGUUACACUAACUGUCAUGAUGUUGUUGAUUUCCUUUUUUUUUUUUUUUUUUUUGAGAGUCUCACUCUGUUGCCUAGACUGGAGUGCAAUGGCGUGAUCUCGGCUCACUACAGCCUCCGCCUCCUGGGUUCAAG
rnacentral:lncRNA from 1 species